GAAAAAUCUAAUGAAUGAGAGAAUGUAAAUGCGUUACGUCCUUAAUACAUAAAUGAGCUGUUUAUGUUCCUAAGGCCUUUAGAUCUUAAGAAGUAUUGAUUUAACUUCCUGUUCAGUGUUAUGCAAAGGUCAUAUUCAUAUUUCCUUUGUCUAGAAGAUACUCUACUUUGCUUGAUAGUAUUUGAUGAAUACAGCACUUAACAUUCAUUACGUGGUGAAGAUAAGAAAGUUGAAAACAGCUCAGAGGACUGCAGAAUGAUUGCCUUAUAAUGCCCACAGCUACGUCACCGGAAUAAAAUGGGUGGUGAUGUUCAGCUAUUGCCCCUGAUCAUCAGAAAAGAAUGGUGCCAUUGGAAAUAUCUGCACCAGAAAAAAAUCUUAUCAAAUUAAGGGACUACUUUGAAGAAAAAAUCAUCAACAACAA
rnacentral:lncRNA from 1 species